AUGCAGUCGACGAACUCUGGUAUUGAUUGGUGCUUGCAUCAUGAUUUACAUUUGAGUGAGUGGCGAACUGGUGAGUAACACGUGGGAAACCUGCCCAGAAGCGGGGGAUAACACCUGGAAACAGAUGCUAAUACCGCAUAACAACUUGGACCGCAUGGUCCGAGUUUGAAAGAUGGCUUCGGCUAUCACUUUUGGAUGGUCCCGCGGCGUAUUAGCUAGAUGGUGGGGUAACGGCUCACCAUGGCAAUGAUACGUAGCCGACCUGAGAGGGUAAUCGGCCACAUUGGGACUGAGACACGGCCCAAACUCCUACGGGAGGCAGCAGUAGGGAAUCUUCCACAAUGGACGAAAGUCUGAUGGAGCAACGCCGCGUGAGUGAAGAAGGGUUUCGGCUCGUAAAACUCUGUUGUUAAAGAAGAACAUAUCUGAGAGUAACUGUUCAGGUAUUGACGGUAUUUAACCAGAAAGCCACGGCUAACUACGUGCCAGCAGCCGCGGUAAUACGUAGGUGGCAAGCGUUGUCCGGAUUUAUUGGGCGUAAAGCGAGCGC
rnacentral:rRNA from 1 species